rnacentral:lncRNA from 1 species
CUCAGGGUGCUGAGGAGGACUGAGCCCUCAGGGCAACCACACAGCAGCUGAGCCUUCUCUCUGCAGGGCCCUCCUGGAUUCGUAGAUGGGGCAGUACCUCGAGGGGAUCCUGGACCCCCAGUGAGUCGAGCUCCUGGGCCAACAGGGUUGACAGAGGGGAUCAGGGCUGUGGUGCCUGUGUGUGCCCAGGGCUGAUCUGCGUCCUCAGGAGCUGGGAUUUUCUCUCUUGCAGGGCCUGCCUGGGGAACCUGGGCCUCGGGGCCCUGCUGGGCCCCCUGGCCUGAAGGGAGAGAAGGUAGGAAGGUGUCAGGGAUGCUCCCCACUGGGGCUGGACCUCACACCACUCUCCAGUGGGGAUUCCCAUCUAAUGGGCAUCUCCAUGCCAUGAGCAUGGCUAUUGCCUUUCCAAAUCUCUAGGGUGAUGGCAUAGAAGGUUUCCCAGGGUCACCUGGCCGCCCCGGGGACCCAGGAGACAGGGGUCCUCGGGGACCACCGGGGGAGCAGGGCAGGAAGGUGAGUGCUGCAGGGACUGGAGGGACACUCUUGCCAUGCCUUUGGCAGGGAGAAAAGGGUUCUGGGUUCUGUGCCAGGACCCAGGAUGUCCCCCAAAGGUACUGCUGCCCCUGACCCUGUGUUUCUCCUAUACCAGGGAGACCGUGGGGCACCGGGCGAGCUGGGAGAGACGGGUGAGAAGGGAGACCGUGGUGUGCCGGGCCCACAGGGUGAGAAGGUAGGUGUGCUGGGGCAACUGUGGCAUGGUGGAGUGAUGCCUGGAACGGCCACCCUGGCUGGGGGUGGCAGGAUGCCCACACGCCUUCCCCUUCCUCCUCUCCUGCAGGGUGAGACGGGAGCCCCAGGGUACCCAGGGCCAUCAGGCAGAGAGGGAGUUCCAGGACCGGCUGGCCCCCGUGGGGAGAAGGGUGAUCCAGGACCACCUGGCAAGCCAGCUCCCAGUGUGUCUGGUGUUGGAGAGAAGGUAACCCUGGCCCAGCUGUGCCCUCCACCCUCUGGGCACGGCUGUGGGCUGGGGAGGGGGAUUGCACAGUUGGGCUCAUCCUGGUCCCAGGCCUGGUUGUCCACAGCUGCAGUGGGGAAAAAAAUGUGUGGUUUGGGGUGCUGA